CAGCUCUGUUUUUCCCAGAUUCCCAGAUCUCCUCUCGCAGUCUCGCCCAGUCGGCCCAGAUCGAGAGUCUCGCCGUCGCCGAUUCUGUUUGCUACGGUGCUACCAGUGGCGGAGAGACACAGAGAGACAGAGAUUCCAUGUUAGCUACUUAGCUGAGCCGCUAAGGAGUGAGGAACUGCCGAACUGAGGCUCUUGAUUUCUUGAAUCUUGAUCAUAGUCGAUUGGUCGGUCUCGGUGACUCGGUCAUCCCCAUCACGAUCUCUUAGAAGGAGAGAGAAUAUCCAGUAGAAAACCAACUCUUAAUCAAGCCCAAUUUCAAAGGCAAGCAAAGGAUGUUGUUAAAGGUAUAAAGAAGCGCCUUGGAAGUAGGAAUUCAAAAGUUCAACUUCUUGCCCUUACAAUUGGAGAUGGAAGAUGAGUUUUUUGAUCUAUGACCAUCAUAGAAAACAAACUUCGAAAUAAGAUGGAAGAUGAGUUUUUUGAUGAUUUGAUGGUUCUCUACAUCGAAAAAGAAUUUGCCGAUAGCAUUGAUAAUGAUUCUGUGAUUGCUGAGUUUGAAGUGAGUGGGCCUCGGAGGGUACAAUUUAGUUAAUUUAUUGUUGUUUUACAACAAAUGUAUGCUUGUAGUUUUUAAUUUACGGGAUUUGGUUUUAUGUCCUCUCUGUUGUAUGUUUUGAUUGAAAAUAAUAAAGGCGUGAGGAUGAGCCUCCCACUGGGUU